rnacentral:rRNA from 1 species
UACGUAGGGCGCAAGCGUUGUCCGGAAUUAUUGGGCGUAAAGAGCUCGUAGGCGGUUUGUCGCGUCUGCCGUGAAAGUCCGGGCUCAACUCCGGAUCUGCGGUGGGUACGGGCAGACUAGAGUGAUGUAGGGGAGACUGGAAUUCCUGGUGUAGCGGUGAAAUGCGCAGAUAUCAGGAGGAACACCGGUGGCGAAGGCGGAUCUCUGGGCCGAUACUGACGCUGAGGAGCGAAAGCGUGGGGAGCGAACAGG